GAUGAACGCUAGCGGCAGGCUUAAUACAUGCAAGUCGAGGGGCAGCACGGUUAGCAAUAACUGGUGGCGACCGGCGCACGGGUGCGUAACACGUAUACAAUCUACCUUAAACAGGGGGAUAGCCUUUCGAAAGAGAGAUUAAUACCCCGUAAUAAAUUGAACGGCAUCGUUUGAUUUUGAAAGCUCCGGCGGUUUGAGAUGAGUAUGCGUCUGAUUAGCUAGUUGGUGAGGUAACGGCUCACCAAGGCUCCGAUCGGUAGCUGUUCUGAGAGGAAGAUCAGCCACACUGGGACUGAGACACGGCCCAGACUCCUACGGGAGGCAGCAGUUGGGAAUCUUGGACAAUGGGGGAAACCCUGAUCCAGCCAUGCCGCGUGAGUGAUGAAGGCCUUCGGGUUGGUAAAACUACUUUCGUACGGGGACGAGUAAUGACGGUACCCGUACGAAGAAGACUCCGGCUAACUUCGUGCCAGCAGCCGCGGUAAGU
rnacentral:rRNA from 1 species